rnacentral:rRNA from 1 species
GAUGAACGCUGGCGGCGUGCCUAACACAUGCAAGUCGUACGAGCUCGAUCUUCGGAAUGGGUUAGUGGCGCACGGGUGAGUAACACGUAGGUGACCUACCCCAGAGUGGGGGAUAACUUCUCGAAAGAGAGGCUAAUACCGCAUACACUCGGUCAUUCAUUUGGCCGAGCAAAGCUCCGGCGCUUUGGGACGGGCCUGCGUCCGAUUAGCUAGUUGGUAGGGUAAUGGCUUACCAAGGCUUUGAUCGGUAGCUGGUCUGAGAGGACGAUCAGCCACACUGGCACUGACACACGGGCCAGACUCCUACGGGAGGCAGCAGUGAGGAAUAUUGGGCAAUGGGCGAAAGCCUGACCCAGCAACGCCGCGUGAGGGAUGAAGGCCUUCGGGUUGUAAACCUCUUUCUGGGAGAAGAGACAAGGACGGUAUCCCAGGAAUAAGUCUCGGCUAACUACGUGCCAGCAGCCGCGG